ensembl:lncRNA
CCGGCGCCGGCCGGGGUGUCGCUGAAGCCGGGGCUGGGCUGGAGGUCAGCCUCCUCGUCUGGCCGCGGGCCCAAAGCCGCCACGGCCGCCCGGCCUGCGUCACCCGCCCUCGCCCAGGUUUUGUGAAGUUGUCCUGACGUGGCAGUCGCUUCGUGGCGGGGGCGCGGCUCGGCCGCUGGUCACCUCCCCGGUCCCGCGAAGCGCACUCCCGGAUCUGCAGGAGCGGACGGCGCUCAGCAAGAACUCCUGUAUAUCCUGGCUCCUCUCUUACCAAUUUGGAACGACUCCUCAGAGAUACCUGAGAGGCAGCAUCCUAGGCUAAAGUCCUCAGUAAGGCCACCAAAUAAAACAGAAUUCUCAACAUUUAGAAUGUGCAUUUUUUUCCAGUUGACAUAUCUUUCUGACAUUUUUUAAAUCAUAUUGAUAAAAAGAAGUUUUCUAGAUUUUUAUUAAUUUCUUGAUUUGAAUACUUUGAAAUCCAAUUUACAGAGGUUCUUCAAGUUUCAUUGACUUAUAUUCAAGGC